UCUGAUCCAAAAUAUCACAAUCUAAAAAGAUACACAGAUGUUCAGCUCCUGUUUUGCCUUUAUCAAGUUCAUCUGACAGUCCAGUGGGAAUGCUUGCAUUCCCAUGCACUCCAGCCUUCUCCACCUGCUCCCUGACCUCAGCAUGGUUCCCUGAGGAACUAGGAGAAGGGGCAGCUGUUGCCUCUGGUUUCCUUCAGCUGCGGUCACAGUAGCAGUUGUUCAAUAUUCCAUUACUUCUCUAACAUUUUCAGGAAAGUCACACGACACUCACCCUUGUCCUGACUUCCCCAGAGCAUGUCACCUUCAGUCUUCGUGCACCAGAGAAUCAAGUUGCUGGCAAGGGGCUGCAGAGAGGGAAACCGUGCUGGAAAUCCCAGGCUGCCAGAAACCUGGAGUGGAGCUCUCUUCUUUGGACUUCGUUUCCAUGGCCAGAAGGAAAGCAGCCUUUCUUAAAUUGUGCCUGCCUCAAAGCUGGCCCAUUUCUCUAUUGCCUUGACCUCAAUUAAAAAAAAAUUACAACAAUGUCCUUUAAAGAAUGCCACGAACAGCCUCUUGGCCUUCUACGGGAUAAAGCAGCCAAUUCCUUAGUCCGUCUCUAUAGAAAUUGUUUCUCCACUAUGUGGAGAAAAUAAGAUCCAACAUGGAGAUGGUUAUAUAAGAGGUAUCUGAAUGGGAUCUUGGGGGCGUGAAGAGUUGGAUCCCGGUCACGUGCAGAUGAAAACCGACCUGUUGAACUGGGCCGAAUCGUAAAACCAGCCGCAUUUCACUUGAACUGUUCAUACUAGGCCUGACCACCAACCGCCUGGAAAGACAGCUAUGCCGAGCAAGACUGAUCAUCUGCUAAAGACAUUCUAAGCCAUUAACCAGCCAUCAUCAAUCAUGGAUUAUAUGAAAACUAUACAGACAGAGAGCCAGAGGAGCCCAUACACGACUGCCGACAGACCGAUGGACAUCCUUCACCCUGCUCGACCAGACCUCACCAACCUCCCCCUGCAGAACCCAGAGGAGGUACUGUAUAUGGAUCGCAGCAGCUUCAUGGUCAAUGGAGUCAGGUGUCUGGUUCCUGUCUCCAGCCAUGACAGUGAGAGACGCUCUGAGGCUGAAGGUUUUAGGUGGAUUGGGGUGAUGUCUUCUGCUGAAUUGGACCCCAAGGAAGCAAAACCUGAGACAAGGAUUUGAAAGCACCAUCAGGAAAGUGGGCAAGAUAAUGCAAGUAGGUGGAGAAUGAAAGGAGUGAGGCAAUGCUUGCAAUAAAAGCAGUUGCUGCUUCA
rnacentral:lncRNA from 13 species